rnacentral:sRNA from 1 species
CGAGGCGUUAACCCUGCGUUAAGCUUUACGGGUGUUUACUAUGUCCAUCCAGUCUUCUGGAUUCUGACCGAGCGGCUGGGCUGCUCUGUUUGACGCCUCCCUGUUUAACUCCUGAGAGCCGCUUUCCGCGGCUCUUUUUUU